rnacentral:rRNA from 1 species
UUUCAUUAUAGUCCACCAGGAUACUCUCUUGGUGUGUACUGGGUGUUAACCUCCUUUUUUUCUGGUACUUGCUAUCCAGCAAUGGGUAGUUUUGUCCAGAUAGUUUACUUUGAAAAAAUUAGAGUGUUCAAAGCAGGCAUAAUUGGCAUCAUGAAUACAUUAGCAUGGGAUAAUAGAAUAUGACAUUGGUCUUAUUUUGUUGGUUUCUAAGGCCAAAGUAAUGAUUGAUAGGGAUAGUUGGGGCCGCUCGUAUUGAGUUGUCAGAGGUGAAAUUCUAGGAUUUACUCAAGACGAACUAAUGCGAAAGCAUUCGGCAAGGAUGUUUUCAUUAAUCAAGAACGAAAGUUGGGGGAUCGAAGAUGAUCAGAUACCGUCGUAGUCUCAACCAUAAACUAUGUCAACCGAGGAUCCGGUAGCGUUACAUGGAUGACCUUCCGGGCACUCUGUGAGAAAUCAUAAGUAUUUGGAUUUCGGGGGGAG